CACAACCCUCCCUUACAUACUAUGGCCACUUCCGCCGCAACAUCCUCAUUUAUCGGAACACGUCUUCCGGAAAUCCACUCUGGUGCGGCUAGAGUACAAGCCCGAUUUGGGUUUGGACAGAAAAAGGCCGCACCAAAAAAGGCUCCCAAAAAGCAAAUUCCAGACAGACCAUUAUGGUACCCCGGUGCCAAAGCACCGGAGUACCUAGACGGUAGCCUUGUUGGUGACUAUGGAUUCGAUCCUUUCGGUUUGGGAAAACCAGCUGAGUACUUGCAAUUUGAUUUGGACUCGUUGGACCAGAAUUUGGCUAAGAAUCUGGCUGGUGACAUUAUUGGAACAAGGACUGAAGUUGCUGAUGUGAAAUCCACACCUUUCCAGCCUUACAGUGAGGUGUUUGGACUAGAGAGGUUCAGAGAAUGUGAACUGAUCCAUGGAAGAUGGGCUAUGUUGGCUACUCUUGGUGCACUCACUGUUGAAUGGCUCACUGGUAUUACCUGGCAAGAUGCUGGAAAGGUACUACACACUUACCUCUCAGUUCAAUUUAUAUGAAAAUUCAAUUUAUAUGAUACUUUUCAGUAUAAAGUAUUUUCUAUGUCUUGAUUUAUGUGAUAUUUGUUGAGAAUAAUGUGAAGCAGUAAAUAGAAUUAGUUAGGAGUUGUAACAGAAUUAGUUAGGAGUUGUAAGUUCAUGAGUAAGUGGAGCGUACCUAACUUAUGUAUAUAUAGUUGAGUAGGCAUUACCUGUAACUAACUCAAAUAUUUUUUGUUCAAUAUCAAUUUUCUCUCUUUCUGUGAGUUCUCUCUCUUCCUCAAUGUACUGUUCCAUUGAACUUGAUCUCCAUUACUACGAUUUCAUCAUGAUAUUAGAGUUAGGCCCACCAGUUCAUUGUUUCGAUGUUGGCCCCCUUUCUUAUAUUGUUCACGCUCCAUGUCCAGUCCUGGGCGUGCGGGGUGUUGGAGUCCCACUAGGUUAAAAGGAUCCUUGAGCUCCUAAUAUGUCCUUGGGCAAUUCUUCUCUCAUGAGCUAGCUUUUGAGGUUGAGUUAGGUUCAAAGUCCAUUUCUUUAUCAAUAUUGUCUGACUUAUACAAAGCUUAUGGAAAAACGGAAGAUCUUUUAAAUUUAUUAGCUAAAAUACUCCUCAAUCAACUAUUACAUUCUUUUUUAGAUGGACUAGAAAAAGUAUUUUACAUAAAUUGAGAUAUAGCGAAUAUAAAUUAGAACGUUACUUUCUUUAAGUAAAUCUUAUUCCAUGUUAAUGCAUAUAUACUUCAUGAUACACGUAGUGGUGCUGCAUUCCUCUGAAUUAUAUAACCUCUAUGUAGUGGAAUGUUUCAAUAUACUUUUAUGUGAAAUUUAUGUUGAGCUUCACAGAAGAAUAAUAGCGUAGUGAUAAUUGGACACCAUUUAUCGAAAUCUUGGAUCCGUACUUUAUUUUCAACUUCAAUUCCACAAGUCAUCAUUGCAUUUAUUCAUGCUUCAUAUUUUGUUGUUUCCUCAUGUCAAUUUUGUUGUUUCCUCAUGUCAAUUUUGUUGUUUUUCUUCCCUUUCAUACCCUUCUUCCACUUGCUUGCCCACCACAUGUAAAUUAGAUUUUCAUUUAACUUGUUCAAUUAGAACAAUUCAAACAAAAUUUUAUUACUUAUUUUUAAUAUAAACUUAUUAUUAAUUAUAAUCAUUUACUAAUGUGUUUUUCAAUAUUAAAUUCAUUAUAUUUAAAGAGUGAUAUAAUAAAAUUAUUAUUUUAUUUAUUACAUAUUUACCAAGUUAAUACUGCACAAGUAUAAUGGAGAGAGUAAUUUCAUCGGGAUAAGAUUGGCAAUUAUUGUCACUCGUUUUGGUUGCUUUUUACUAUUUAUUGCUUCACUGUGAACAAAUAAUUAAAAUGAAGGUAUAAUUUAAAUAAAGUUUGAUGCCUGAAUAGUAGGUUAAAGCGCGUGUAUUUUGCUUGUGAUUAUUCAUUUCUCACUGUCCAUGGUUGCCCUAGUUUUCAAAUUUGUAACUUUAUUAUGUUGCUAGAUAAGGAAGUACAAAUCUAUAGUGCUAGCUAUUGGAAUACAUAAUUAGACAUUGUCAAUUUAGUACAAGCUUUUAUAGGUUAGAAAUUGCUACUUAAGAAGCAACAAAUACUUAUCUGCACUAGAGAGUUAUAUCGAACAAUAUUAAUUUGUUAUAGCUAAAAGAUUUAAUAAGGUGAGAAUAUAUAUUGGUUAAUUAUGAUUAAAUUAUAAAAAUUUAUGUGCACGCAUAUAUAAUACUAGCAAAAGUUGGCUUGAUAUAAACAUAGAGUAAGAAUAAAUUUUACAAUCUAAUUUGUGAAACUCUCUUUAUUGGAUUUACAUAGGUUGAGUUGGUUGAUUAUGAAUAUUGUUGGACUUGCAUAGCUUGAGUUGGUUGUUUUUGGUUUGAGUAUGAAUAAAGUGUUAGAAACUCUUUAUUGAUUUGAUAUAAUAUCGAGUAUGCAUAAGUUUUAUGGUCUUAUUUGUGAUACUCUUUGUUGGAUUUGGAUAGGUUGAGUUGGUUGAGGGAUCAUCCUACUUGGGACAGCCACUCCCAUUCUCCAUUACAACAUUGAUCUGGAUUGAGGUACUUGUCAUUGGAUACAUUGAAUUCCAAAGGAACGCUGAGCUUGACCCUGAAAAAAGGCUUUACCCUGGUGGAUCAUACUUCGACCCAUUGGGCCUUGCUGCUGAUCCUGAGAAAAAGGCCACACUUCAACUUGCUGAAAUCAAGCAUGCCCGUCUUGCCAUGGUUGCUUUCUUGGGCUUUGCCGUCCAAGCUGCUGCUACCGGAAAAGGUCCACUUAACAACUGGGCUACCCACUUGAGUGACCCGCUUCACACUACCAUUUUCG
rnacentral:lncRNA from 1 species